AGCAGCCGCGGUAAUUCCAGCUCCAAUAGCGUAUAUUAAAGUUGUUGCAGUUAAAAAGCUCGUAGUUGAAUUUCGGGGUUAGUAGGUUGGUCAUGCCUCUGGUAUGUACUGGUCUCACUGAUUCCUCCUUCCUGAUGAGCCGUAAUGCCAUUAAUUUGGUGUUGCGGGGAAUUUGGACUGUUACUUUGAAAAAAUUAGAGUGUUUAAAGCAGGCUAACGCUUGAAUACAUUAGCAUGGAAUAAUGAAAUAGGACGUUCGAUCUUAUUUUGUUGGUUUCUAAGAUUGACGUAAUGAUUAAUAGGGAUAGUUGGGGGCAUUAGUAUUCAAUUGUCAGAGGUGAAAUUCUUGGAUUUAUUGAAGACUAACUACUGCGAAAGCAUUUGCCAAGGAUGUUUUCAUUAAUCAAGAACGAAAGUUAGGGGAUCGAAGACGAUCAGAUACCGUCGUAGUCUUAACCAUAAACUAUGCCGACUAGGGAUCGGAUGAUGUAAUUUUUUAAUGACUCA
rnacentral:rRNA from 1 species